AAAUAACAAAUAUAUGGACCUCCAAUGUCUACUAGACACUUUGAUGAUAUGUCGUCAUCACGGGUGUUGCCCGAAGGAAGGGAUGCCCAAAUCACUUGACAAUAUUUUACACAACUGUCUAAAUGAAGAUGAAUCUCCAUGCAACUUUCUUAAUUCUACAACGAAUAGUGAUGGACAUAUCUCAAAAACCUGAGCUGAUAUUGAAAAUAUGCUGCCCACACCAUUCUCACCCCUUUCCUCUCUAAUUACUUUCAACCUUCCUUCCUUCUUUUGGACAAGAAACCCCAUAUCUGUUACAAGAUCCUCCAUUCGCUUAAUGGUAUCUUCUUUUGUAGAGUGAUUGAUUGUAAAUCUUAUCUUCCUUUCCGAAAUGUCCUCUUCCUCAAAGAAACCUGAAAGGUCCAAGCAUAAGGACAUUCCAAUUAGUUGAAAAGCAUUUAUAGUAGUGGGAGACUCUGAACUCUCUUGAUUCGUUGAGAUGGCCACGUAUAUAUCCUCUUGAUCUUCAUCGUAAAAGUUGGGUGGAUGAUAGUCCUUACUAAACCAAUGGUCUAUUUUGAUGGAUUCCAUAGUUGCCCUAAAAAUAGGGUUAGGAUCAAGAAUCCGUCUAAUUAACUUUUGGGCCCCUUGUGACAGCCACAUUGGUAAUUGAGUUUCUCCUUUCAAGAUCCUUAAAUGCUCUUGUAAUGCACUUAAUCCAAAAUCAGAUAUCUUGAUAUUUCCUCUAGCAUCCACAAGUAUGUUCUCUAGCUUGAGAUCCCUAUGGUAAACACCUUUCCUAUGGCAGUAACUCACACCAUCAAUUAACUGUUGGAAGAUUUUUCUGCCUUCGUCUUCUGAUACCUUCCCUUUCAAUGCGAUUCUAUUAUACAAUUCUCCGCCAUUCACAUACUCAAGAACCAUAUAAAUUUUGCUUUUACUGGCCAACACCUCGUAUAGCCUAACUAUAUUUGGAUGCUUUAGAAGUUUGAGAGUUCGUAUUUCCCUUUUAAACUGAUUCGUGAAAUUGAGAUUGAUGAUUUUGGUCUUCUCGAGAACCUUGAUAGCAAAAGGUUGGCCAGUUUCAAGGUUUAUAGCAAAUUUGACCUUACUGAAACUGCCAUGCCCGAUUGUUCUUCCCAGCUCGUAUUUUCCCAUUCGCAUUCUUG
rnacentral:misc_RNA from 1 species